CCUACGGGAGGCAGCAGUGAGGAAUAUUGGUCAAUGGGCGGAAGCCUGAACCAGCCAAGUCGCGUGAGGGAAUAAGGCCCUACGGGUCGUAAACCUCUUUUGCCGGGGAGCAAGGGCGGGGACGUGUCCCGGCCCGGAGAGUACCCGGAGAAAAAGCAUCGGCUAACUCCGUGCCAGCAGCCGCGGUAAUACGGAGGAUGCGAGCGUUGUCCGGAUUUAUUGGGCGUAAAGCGAGUGCAGGCGGUUCAAUAAGUCUGCUGUGAAAGCCUUCGGCUCAACCGGAGAAUUGCAUCAGAAACUGUUUG
rnacentral:rRNA from 1 species